GGGAUGACACAGUAGGAUAAGCUAAGCACACUGUUGGUUAUGUGUGCCCAAGCAUUGAGGCAGUCAAAGUAGGCAAAUCCGCUUUGAUAAUGCUGGGAUGUGAUGGGGAGCGAAAUUUAGUAGCGAAGUAGCUGAUUUCACACUGUCAAGAAAAGUCUCUAUCGAGGUUAAAGGUACCCGUACCGCAAACCGACACAGGUGGGUGAGGAGAGUAUCCUAAGGCCAGCGAGAGAACUGUUGUUAAGGAACUCGGCAAAAUGACCCCGUAACUUAGGGAUAAGGGGUGCCACCAUCAGGUGGCCGCAGAGAAUAGGCCCAAGCGACUGUUUACCAAAAACAUAGGUUUCUGCUAAGUCGCAAGACGAUGUAUAGGAGCUGACGCCUGCCCGGUGCUGGAAGGUUAAGGGGAUCUGUUAGAGCAAUCGAAGCAGUGAACUUAAGCCCCAGUAAACGGCGGCCGUAACUAUAACGGUCCUAAGGUAGCGAAAUUCCUUGUCGGGUAAGUUCCGACCCGCACGAAAGGCGUAACGAUUUGGGCACUGUCUCAACAACAGACUCGGUGAAAUUGUAAUUCCGGUGAAGAUGCCGGAUACCUGCGACAGGACGGAAAGACCCCAUGGAGCUUUACUGUAGCUUGACAUUGGGUCUUGGUACUACAUGUACAGGAUAGGU
rnacentral:rRNA from 1 species